UGGAAGGGCUCUGCUGUGAAGUCAUGCUGGCAAACAGGAACCUUUAAGUUUGACCUCAAAUCAGGUAGGAUUACCCGCUGAACUUAAGCAUAUCAAUAAGCGGAGGAAAAGAAACCAACUGGGAUUGCCUUAGUAACGGCGAGUGAAGCGGCAAAAGCUCAAAUUUGAAAUCUGGUACCUUUGGUGCCCGAGUUGUAAUUUGUAGAGUACCACUUUGGGACUAUACUUUGCCUAUGUUCCUUGGAACAGGACGUCAUGGAGGGUGAGAAUCCCGUGUGGCGAGGGUGUUAGUUCUUUGUAAAGGGUGCUCGAAGAGUCGAGUUGUUUGGGAAUGCAGCUCUAAGUGGGUGGUAAAUUCCAUCUAAAGCUAAAUACAGGCGAGAGACCGAUAGCGAACAAGUACAGUGAUGGAAAGAUGAAAAGAACUUUGAAAAGAGAGUGAAAAAGUACGUGAAAUUGUUGAAAGGGAAGGGCAUUUGAUCAGACAUGGUGUUUUGCGCCCCUCGCUCCUUGUGGGUGGGGGACUCUCGCAGCUCACUGGGCCAGCAUCAGUUUUUGCGGCAGGACAAAACCUUGGGAAUGUAGCUGUGCGCCUCGGUGUACAGUGUUAUAGCUCUUGGGAAUACUGCCAGCGGGGACUGAGGACUGCGAUACUUGUUAUCUAGGAUGCUGGCAUAAUGGUUAUAUGCCGCCCGUCUUGAAACACGGACCAAGGAGUCUAACGUCUAUGCGAGUGUUUGGGUGUUAAACCCGUACGCGUAAUGAAAGUGAACGUAGGUUGGGGCCCUGUUAUGGGGUGCACAAUCGACCGAUCCUGAUGUCUUCGGAUGGAUU
rnacentral:rRNA from 1 species